GAAGAAUCUAAUUUGUAUACUCGCGGUGUGUUUAGGAGAUUUCCUUUCCAUAGGCAGUGCUAAAUAUUAAUAAAUUAGCAAGUGCGGUACUGUGCGUGAUUGUAGAUAAGAAAACAAAAAGCCGUCCAACGGCUUUUUGUUCCCAGUAUUUUUUUGGACCACCGCUCCCCUCCUGCUCGGCACACCGCCCCUUUAGCG